rnacentral:misc_RNA from 1 species
AUAGCAGCUGGAUAACCACCCAUAAGCAAUGAUGUCACCCAUAUUAGAAGUGAUUGCAGAAUCACUGAAUUGUGAAGCAUGCUUGCAAAACGUUGAUUGUAUACAAUCAUGUAUGUCCCCAAAAUGUCAAAAAAUACAGCAUUGUCAUGGCCACUUUUUUCCUCUUCUCUCAUUGCCUUGCCUUUUGGAAGAUGAGAUGUUGGAGCUAUCUGAAGUAAAAAAGCAAGCAUAUUCUCCGACAAUGCUGAAGAGAUCCAGAUUUGAGGAACUCCAAUUUGUCAUUCUUAGUGUGAUAUACACCACUGUUAUCUGUGUAAGCAAAGUCAAGCCCUGAAAGACCAGCAACCUCUUUGUAAACUUGGAAAUCUGUAGCAGAUUUAAUCACUCCAGAUGAAAAAAGAUCCUGUGCUACAAUAUGACCAGAUGGGUAUUUUGCUGCCAAUGCAAAGUUCUCAAUAGCAAAUGGAUGAGGACCAGCCUGAAAAAUGCCAGACUUCCCUCCAACACCCAUGGCUUCCAAAUCAAUAGCNNNNNNAAUAGUUCUACUCCAAGGGUGCUGAGUUAUAAAGCUAUGAGCACCAUUUAGACCUUCCUCCUCGC